GGUGAAGAGGAGCUUGCUCCUUGGAUCAGUGGCGAACGGGUGAGUAACACGUGAGCAAUCUGCCCUUGACUCUGGGAUAACUGCGGGAAACUGUAGCUAAUACCGGAUAUUACCUUGGAAGGCAUCUUCUGGGGUGGAAAGAAUUUUGGUCAAGGAUGAGCUCGCGGCCUAUCAGCUAGUUGGUGAGGUAAUGGCUCACCAAGGCGACGACGGGUAGCCGGCCUGAGAGGGUGACCGGCCACACUGGGACUGAGACACGGCCCAGACUCCUACGGGAGGCAGCAGUGGGGAAUAUUGCACAAUGGGCGCAAGCCUGAUGCAGCAACGCCGCGUGAGGGACGACGGCCUUCGGGUUGUAAACCUCUUUUAGUAGGGAAGAAGCGACUGGGUUUUCCUGGGAGUGACGGUACCUGCAGAAAAAGCACCGGCUAACUACGUGCCAGCAGCCGCGGUAAUACGUAGGGUGCAAGCGUUGUCCGGAAUUAUUGGGCGUAAAGAGCUCGUAGGCGGUUUGUCGCGUCUGCUGUGAAAACCCGAGGCUCAACCUCGGGCCUGCAGUGGGUACGGGCAGACUAGAGUGCGGUAGGGGAGAUUGGAAUUCCUGGUGUAGCGGUGGAAUGCGCAGAUAUCAGGAGGAACACCAAUGGCGAAGGCAGAUCUCUGGGCCGUAACUGACGCUGAGGAGCGAAAGCAUGGGGAGCGAACAGGAUUAGAUACCCUGGUAGUCCAUGCCGUAAACGUUGGGAACUAGAUGUGGGGACCAUUCCACGGUCUCCGUGUCGCAGCUAACGCAUUAAGUUCCCCGCCUGGGGAGUACGGCCGCAAGGCUAAAACUCAAAGGAAUUGACGGGGGCCCGCACAAGCGGCGGAGCAUGCGGAUUAAUUCGAUGCAACGCGAAGAACCUUACCAAGGCUUGACAUAUACCGGUAACGCCUGGAAACAGGUGCCCCGCAAGGUCGGUAUACAGGUGGUGCAUGGUUGUCGUCAGCUCGUGUCGUGAGAUGUUGGGUUAAGUCCCGCAACGAGCGCAACCCUCGUCCUAUGUUGCCAGCACGUAAUGGUGGGAACUCAUGGGAUACUGCCGGGGUCAACUCGGAGGAAGGUGGGGAUGACGUCAAAUCAUCAUGCCCCUUAUGUCUUGGGCUUCACGCAUGCUACAAUGGCCGGUACAAAGGGCUGCGAUACCGCAAGGUGGAGCGAAUCCCAAAAAGCCGGUCUCAGUUCGGAUUGAGGUCUGCAACUCGACCUCAUGAAGUCGGAGUCGCUAGUAAUCGCAGAUCAGCAACGCUGCGGUGAAUACGUUCCCGGGCCUUGUACACACCGCCCGUCAAGUCAUGAAAGUCGGUAACACCCGAAGCCAGUGGCCGAACCCGUAAGGGACGGAG
rnacentral:rRNA from 1 species